rnacentral:piRNA from 1 species
UCUUGGAGCCCUUGCCCAGAGUGUGCA